rnacentral:rRNA from 1 species
UACGGGGGGGGCAAGCGUUGUUCGGAAUUACUGGGCGUAAAGGGCUCGUAGGCGGCCAACUAAGUCAGACGUGAAAUCCCUCGGCUUAACCGGGGAACUGCAUCCGAUACUGGAUGGCUUGAGUUCGGGAGAGGGAUGCGGAAUUCCAGGUGUAGCGGUGAAAUGCGUAGAUAUCUGGAGGAACACCGGUGGCGAAGGCGGCAUCCUGGACCGACACUGACGCUGAGGAGCGAAAGCCAGGGGAGCAAACAGG